AGUAACCAGCAUUACUGUGUGUUGUGUGUUUGUCAGACUGCAGGCUAUGAAAGCGCUUCAGAGGCUUGAAGCUGAACUAGAGAAUCACGACGCAAAGAACAAUGAGAAGGUUUAACGCACGCAAGCACUCUGAUGACCAAAUAAACAAGAGAUGAGAUCGAGGAGUUUAAUUGUUUACAUGCUCGCAUUUUUGAAGGUUGAAUCUUUGCAAAAAGCACUUGAUGAAGCUCAACUGGACAACAGGAAACUUUCCCAGAGUUUAGAGCAGGCCUUACAGGAAAACCACAAUGCACAAGACAAAUUAAACACCCUCAGCGAGAGGUGAGGGAAUGUGAGUUUAUGGCUUACGUCCUCCAUGUUUUCUUGAGUUUACAUUAUACAUGACUGCAUCAGCAGGGAGGCGGAGCAUAAAGAGACGAGGGCAGAGAUUCGGCGAUUGACAGAACAUGUAGAUUCACACAAGAGCUUGCUCAAAAGGGAAAAAGACUCUGGGAGAAAGUCAGCACAGCGGGUAAUUUUAAAGAAAUGAGGUAGAUUUUAAUGUACAGCAUUUACCGGUAUAUAUAAAUGCUUUAUAAAUACAUUUACAUUUUAUUCAGUUCUACUCUGAUUCAACUACUCCCGUUUUCUAUAUAGCUGAAGAAGGCACUAAAUGAUGCAUCGGCAAAGUCAGGUGACCUCUCACGAGCCAAUCAGGAGCUUCGAGAGAAAGUGUCCGAGCUGGAGAAGCUUAUAUCACAUCAGAAGUCUCAAUUGAAUCAGUAUCUGGGCAACAGAACAGCACUGAAUCACUCUUUAAGAAUCAAGGUGUGUCAUUUUACCCACCAUCUGUGCUGGGUACAGGCUCUCUCACUGUAGUAAUAACAUCCCAGAAUACACAAACUGAGUUUUUACAUCGUCUUUGCCUUCCCGACAGGAUUUGGAAGCAGAAAUUAAAAGUCUUGAAGAAGCAAAGGACGAAUAUAAGAGGAGGAGUCAUGAACAGUCUCAGUCUUUGCUGCAGCUGCACUCUGAGAUGCUUUCUCUCCAGUCUGAGCUGCAGUGUCUGUCCUCCACUCAGCAGGGGGAGCUACAGGCCGAAAGAGAUCUCAAUCACACGCUACUGGAGAAAUGCCGGGU
rnacentral:lncRNA from 1 species